CGCGUCUACUCCACAAAAUAGACGCAGACCGCCAAGAAAGGAGAAAAUUCUUCCCGCAGGACCUGCGGUGCAGCAGUGUGGAGACCUGCUGUAAUGCGUGCUGCUCCAACGCGGGCGGGCGCGAGGGACGGGCAAGCGGAGGCUCCCGUUUCAUGGUCGGUUGCAUGGCA
rnacentral:ncRNA from 1 species